AAAAAAUAAAUUAUUAUUUUUUAUUAUUUUUUAUUAUUUAUAAAUAAAAUAUUUUUAAUAAUUAAAUUUUAGUAUUUUUAAGAAAAAAAGUUAUUAAUUAUAGUGUAUUAGUAAUGUAAAUGAAUAUUUUUAUUUGUAAAAAAGAAUUUUUUAUUUAAAGUACCUUUUGUAUCAGGGUUUAUUAAAAUAAUAUUUAAGAUUAAAUUUAUCUCGAAUUUAAAAGAUUAAAUUUAUUAUUAUUUUUAUUGUAGUAAAAAUAUUUUUAAUAAUAAAUUGGUAAUGAAAUGUUAUUCGUUUUUAAAUUUAUCUAGUUUUUUUAGAAAAAAAUUUAAUUUUAUUAUAAAUUAUUAUAUAAAUUAAAAUUUAAGUUUAAUAUAUAAUUUAUAAUUAUAUUUUUAGGGAUAAGCUUAAAAAUAAAAUUAUAUUUAAUGUUUAUAAUUAUAAUAAAUUUUAUGAUUAAAAAUUUCAAUAAUAUAAAAAAUUUUAUAAUUUAUUUAUAAAUAUAUAGAUUUAAUUUUUAAUUAAUUUAUUUAUAAAAAUAUUUAAUUAAAUUAUUUAUUUAAUUAAUAAUGAUAAAAUUAGUAUAUAAUAAUUAUAAUUAAUUAAUAAUAUUAUUUAAUUAAAGAUAAGGAAUUCGGCAAAUUAAUUAUUCGCCUGUUUAUCAAAAACAUGGUUUUUUGUUUAUAAUUUAAGAUUUAAUCUGCCCACUGAUUAUUUAAAGGGCCGCAGUAUAUUGACUGUGCAAAGGUAGCAUAAUCAUUUGUCUCUUAAUUGUUGACUAGUAUGAAUGAUUGGACGAGAUAAUUACUGUCUCAUUUUUAAUUUUAAUAAAAUUUUAUUUUUAAGUUAAAAAGCUUAAAUAAUUUUUAAGGACGAGAAGACCCUAUAGAGUUUUAUUAAUUUAAUAAAAAUUUUUAUUUUUGUAUAUAAAUUAUUUUUAUAAAAAUUAAUUUAAUUGGGGUGAUUAAAAAAUUUAUUAAACUUUUUAUAAAUUAUUUCAAUAAAUUUUGUUUAUUUUGAUCCAGAAUUUUUGAUUAUUUGAUUAAAUUACCUUAGGGAUAACAGCGUUAUUAUUUUGGAAAGUUCAUAUUUAUAAAAUAGUUUGCGACCUCGAUGUUGAAUUAAGAUGAAAUUUUGGGGUAGUAUUUAAAAUUUUUAGUCUGUUCGACUAUUAAAUUCUUACAUGAUUUGAGUUCAAACCGGUGUAAGCCAGGUUGGUUUCUAUCCUAUAAUAUAUAAAAUAAUUUAGUACGAAAGGACCAUUUAUUUGAUUUAAAAUUUAAAUUU
rnacentral:rRNA from 1 species